CCGACGGUGAGGGGUGAAAGCUGGGGGCACGAACCGGAUUAGAUACCCGGGUAGUCCCAGCCGUAAACGAUGCUCGCUAGGUGUCUGGGAUGGUGCGACCGUUUCAGGUGCCGCAGGGAAGCCGUGAAGCGAGCCACCUGGGAAGUACGGCCGCAAGGCUGAAACUUAAAGGAAUUGGCGGGGGAGCACUACAACGGGUGGAGCCUGCGGUUUAAUUGGACUCAACGCCGGAAAUCUCACCGGAUAA
rnacentral:rRNA from 1 species